rnacentral:rRNA from 1 species
AUGAACGCUAGCUACAGGCUUAACACAUGCAAGUCGAGGGGCAGCAUUUCAGUUUGCUUGCAAACUGGAGAUGGCGACCGGCGCACGGGUGAGUAACGCGUAUCCAACCUGCCGAUAACUCGGGGAUAGCCUUUCGAAAGAAAGAUUAAUACCCGAUGGCAUAAUUAGACCGCAUGGUCUUAUUAUUAAAGAAUUUCGGUUAUCGAUGGGGAUGCGUUCCAUUAGGCAGUUGGUGAGGUAACGGCUCACCAAACCUUCGAUGGAUAGGGGUUCUGAGAGGAAGGUCCCCCACAUUGGAACUGAGACACGGUCCAAACUCCUACGGGAGGCAGCAGUGAGGAAUAUUGGUCAAUGGGCGCAGGCCUGAACCAGCCAAGUAGCGUGAAGGAUGACUGCCCUAUGGGUUGUAAACUUCUUUUAUAUGGGAAUAAAGUUUUCCACGUGUGGAAUUUUGUAUGUACCAUAUGAAUAAGGAUCGGCUAACUCCGUGCCAGCAGCCGCGGUAAUACGGAGGAUCCGAGCGUUAUCCGGAUUUAUUGGGUUUAAAGGGAGCGUAGGUGGACAGUUAAGUCAGUUGUGAAAGUUUGCGGCUCAACCGUAAAAUUGCAGUUGAUACUGGCUGUCUUGAGUACAGUAGAGGUGGGCGGAAUUCGUGGUGUAGCGGUGAAAUGCUUAGAUAUCACGAAGAACUCCGAUUGCGAAGGCAGCUCACUGGACUGCAACUGACACUGAUGCUCGAAAGUGUGGGUAUCAAACAGGAUUAGAUACCCUGGUAGUCCACACAGUAAACGAUGAAUACUCGCUGUUUGCGAUAUACAGUAAGCGGCCAAGCGAAAGCAUUAAGUAUUCCACCUGGGGAGUACGCCGGCAACGGUGAAACUCAAAGGAAUUGACGGGGGCCCGCACAAGCGGAGGAACAUGUGGUUUAAUUCGAUGAUACGCGAGGAACCUUACCCGGGCUUAAAUUGCAUUUGAAUAUAUUGGAAACAGUAUAGCCGUAAGGCAAAUGUGAAGGUGCUGCAUGGUUGUCGUCAGCUCGUGCCGUGAGGUGUCGGCUUAAGUGCCAUAACGAGCGCAACCCUUAUCUUUAGUUACUAACAGGUCAUGCUGAGGACUCUAGAGAGACUGCCGUCGUAAGAUGUGAGGAAGGUGGGGAUGACGUCAAAUCAGCACGGCCCUUACGUCCGGGGCUACACACGUGUUACAAUGGGGGGUACAGAAGGCAGCUACCUGGUGACAGGAUGCUAAUCCCAAAAGCCUCUCUCAGUUCGGAUCGAAGUCUGCAACCCGACUUCGUGAAGCUGGAUUCGCUAGUAAUCGCGCAUCAGCCAUGGCGCGGUGAAUACGUUCCCGGGCCUUGUACACACCGCCCGUCAAGCCAUGAAAGCCGGGGGUACCUGAAGUACGUAACCGCAAGGAGCGUCCUAGGGUAAAACUGGUAAUUGGGGCU